UUAAUGUGAAUUUAGUAUUUUAACAUUAUUAUUAUUUUCAAUUAAAGUGGUGCCAUGAUUCUUUUGUUCAUUGUGAGUAUAAAUAGGACAAUUUAACUCCAUUUAGUCACCACUUCAAACGGGAGGUACCCCUAUUUUUAUUAUUUCAAUGUCAAUUACGUGCUCUUAUGUGCUCUUAUGUGUUCCUAUGUGUUUAUAUUUUUAUAUGCUUUAUUUAUUUGAAUUAAAUAUUCAUUCAAAUUUUCUUAUAUAUGUUUUAAUUAAUUUUUACAAUGAUUCAAGAGGCAUUUAAAUACCUCAAAAAUGUAAUAGAUAGGAUAAUUAGAUUUGUUUUAUUAUAUUUUUCCCUUCUAGAUUGUAGUUAGGCGCUCUCCGAUGUAAUAGAUAGGUUGCGUGUUUAUGUGGCUUAUGUGUUAUGUGUUUUAUCCGUUUUUCUUAGGAUUUUGGCAUCUAGAUAUUAUGUUUACGUGUUAUGUGCUACGUGCUCUUAUGUGUUUAUUUGUUUUAAUUUAUGUUUUAUUUGUUUCACUAUGAAUUGUUGAUGCAUGACGUCACCACACUAGUCCAACGUUAGUUGUGGUUUCUCCCUCCGCUUACUUGCUAGUCCAACGCUAGUAAGGAUUUUUAGAAAUGGGCUAGUCCAACGCUAGACCCUUUAGGUUAUCUUGCGCUAGAUUCAUCUUUGUGUGCUAUUCACUACAUUUUCAUGUAUAUUUUUAUUUUUAGGAUCUUUUCUCAUUUGCAUGAUAUUCCCUAUUAUAUUAUCCCCUACCCGCUAUAGGUGCUAAUCAUGUCAUUUAGAAUUGCAUCCCAUUUAAGCUAGUUCAUUUGCUUGUUCAUGUUAGGAUAAUUAUUUUUCAAACAUGGGAAAUGGGUGAUUAUAACUUUCUAGUUUAAAUACCCUAUUAAUCCAUGUAUAAGAAAAUUAUGUCACGAAUUUUCUUGCCUCCCGUACCCUUUAUGUUGCAUUCCCUUUUUCUUUGAUCACUUAUAUAUAUGUAUAUAAUUUAAUUUCUUUUCUUUUAUUUUCUUUUCUUUUUCAUCAUUUGCAUCCUUGUGACACCUUCGAGGAUUUAUUUUGACCUUCGCAAUUAAUGCGAUUGGUUCAAUUAAACCCUUGAAUGAACAUGUUGUCCCUUACGACAUUUCUUAGAUUUGCAUUCAUAUAGAAAACAUCCAAAUGUGAUAAAUUAAGGGUUAGAUUAGGAAAAUUUUGACUAAACCUCGCAACUAGCUUAGACUAGGUUGAAAGGGUGCCUUAGAUUUGAGUUAAUCGAAUCUUUGCCUUCCCUUUCUUCAACCGUGACUCCCGAAUCCAUUUUCUCUUGUUUUCAAUGACCUGGAGUUGUCAAAAAGGGUUUUAUUUUGUUUUACUUUAUUUUUUGGGUGACUUGGUACACCAAAACUCCAUACCAAGUGGCGACUCCUGUUUUUUCUUAAAAACCCUUUUAGACUAAAUUUUGGACCCAAAUUGUCGCAUUCUUUUUAAGUCCCAUUCUAGGUCCCUUUUAACUUGUUUAAAAAUAAAAUCAUAUCUUUUAUAAACCUCACACUUUAUUUUUCUUUUCCAUCGCGAAAAAUGGGGCGCGACAGUGGUGCCACCCAUUUUGAUUUUUCCAAUGCAAAAAUCAAGGGCAAUGUAGGAACUAGAAGUGAACUCCUUUAUAAGAACGAGGAAAAUAAAUAUAUUAAACUAAGUUGGAGAGAAAAACUAAAUUUUCAAUUAAAUUGUGGUAAAAAUAUAAAUUAGUAAUUUUUUCCCCAAAAUCAGACAUCGCUGCAACAGUUCUUCUUCUUCUAAUGAUUCCCCCCUCCUAGCUAGUAGACUUGCCAGAAUUUUCCCACUCUCUCACAUCCAAGCACGUAGAAGCUACAGACACAUAUAGAUGCUUUUUGAAACCCAAAAUAACAAAAAAUAAAGGAUAUUUUUAAAGUAAAAUAGAUGUAUUUUCCUUACAACCCACUCAUUGUUAGUCUCUGGUGCCUACAAGAUCUACAAUAGACAAUGGUUUCUCUUCUCAUGCAAACACAUAUCACAUACACAAAAUCUCAGCCUCAUUUUCAUUAUCAAUUUACAUUCUAGCAUUUUCACAAGUAGUUGGAGGGCAUUAUUUAGUUUUUGGUGUGUUUAAAUUAUUUUAAUAUUAAAUAACAAGGAUCCCAGUGAAUUUUACAUUUUAUGGUUAAAAUGAGAAAAUUUUGCAUUUCCAUAGAUUUAAGUGGUUAAAACUUCAUAUUUUUGUAGGUUUUAAUGACUUAAUCAUCAAUUAGAGUGAAGUGAAUAGAUAUUUGAAUGAUUAUUGAUGAUUUCAAGUGAUUUCAAGUAAAAAAGAACUCCAAAAUAUUCAAAGCAUGGAAUACAAAGAAGAAUAGAUUGGCAGCCCUAACACAAGUCAGUAUUUUAGCUAUAACUUGAGUUUCAAGUAUUGCAUUGAGAUGAUUCUUGAAGUAUUGUAAAGUUAAGAUCUAGGGAUACAUUUUUUAUUAGACCUCAAAGUCCAAUUCACACAUUUCAAUGGUCAAAAAGCUAAACUAUAGUCAGGCAUUUUUGCCAUCGAGAUAGGGUUUGAGGGUUUGGUUAUUUGUCAAUCUUUAGAGUUCCAAAUGACAUGAUUCUUGAUGAACUGGAAAGCUAAUUCAAAGAGUUACAAUUUUAUAUUUUGUGCAAGAACUAGUUCGGCUUUCAUCUAAUAAGCGAUUAUUUUACACUAUAUUUGAAUGACAUUUUAUGUUAGUUUUAGUCACGUUUGCAAUGUUAUAAGAAGAAAAUUGUCCAUUUUGGAUAGAAUUGAUUUUUGUCCUUUUUUCUCACACGUUUUUGGUUGUUUUUAUAGGAGUUGCAAAUAAACUUCAUUUUGACAAAAAACAAGAUUGUAAUAUGUUCAUUGAAGUCCUAAAGUUCACUAAUUUGGCAAGUUUCAAAGGUGGUUCGAGUUACAUACACAAGAAAGUGAUGAAACUUGUAAGAAAAAAAAAGUUGGCUUGAAUCCCUCCAAGAAUCCGUGCAAUGAUUGUCAGAGGGACUCGAGGCAAAAAGUUUUGGUGAAAUAGGGAAUGAAUCCCUCCAAGAAUCCUAAGAACCUCUUUCUUGUCAUGUUUACUACUUUUAUUACAUGUUUCUAGCAUAGAUUUACAUGUUUUAUUUGUGAUCAUCUAAAUAAUAAAUGAUUUCGAAUCACACCGACAAUUGAUAAUCUUCCAUGUAGGAUCGAGACUCAAAUAUUCCCUAUACUCAUGUAUGACUUAUGAAUUUGCAGUAGUGAAAUUUUGAGUUAUAUUUAAAACUUGGGAGCAAAUAAGAUUCAAACUUUGUAUGCAUCAAGUUCCAAAACCAUUUUCUUGUCUUUAAGCUUAAGACAAGAUGUGAGGCAAGAAAGAUAUAGGAAUCAUUUUAAAGUGGUACAUCGAACUUGGUUUUGAUGGUGUAGUAAUAGCAGUUGUCGGCUCAGGUCAAUGUUGAUGUGCUUUUCAUCCUAUUAUCCGUAUUUUCUUUUACCAAAUUUGCCUUCUG
rnacentral:lncRNA from 1 species